rnacentral:rRNA from 1 species
AGAGUUUGAUCAUGGCUCAGAGCGAACGCUGGCGGCAGGCUUAACACAUGCAAGUCGAGCGGGCGUAGCAAUACGUCAGCGGCAGACGGGUGAGUAACGCGUGGGAACGUACCUUUUGGUUCGGAACAACACAGGGAAACUUGUGCUAAUACCGGAUAAGCCCUUACGGGGAAAGAUUUAUCGCCGAAAGAUCGGCCCGCGUCUGAUUAGCUAGUUGGUGAGGUAAUGGCUCACCAAGGCGACGAUCAGUAGCUGGUCUGAGAGGAUGAUCAGCCACAUUGGGACUGAGACACGGCCCAAACUCCUACGGGAGGCAGCAGUGGGGAAUAUUGGACAAUGGGCGCAAGCCUGAUCCAGCCAUGCCGCGUGAGUGAUGAAGGCCCUAGGGUUGUAAAGCUCUUUUGUGCGGGAAGAUAAUGACGGUACCGCAAGAAUAAGCCCCGGCUAACUUCGUGCCAGCAGCCGCGGUAAUACGAAGGGGGCUAGCGUUGCUCGGAAUCACUGGGCGUAAAGGGUGCGUAGGCGGGUCUUUAAGUCAGGGGUGAAAUCCUGGAGCUCAACUCCAGAACUGCCUUUGAUACUGAAGAUCUUGAGUUCGGGAGAGGUGAGUGGAACUGCGAGUGUAGAGGUGAAAUUCGUAGAUAUUCGCAAGAACACCAGUGGCGAAGGCGGCUCACUGGCCCGAUACUGACGCUGAGGCACGAAAGCGUGGGGAGCAAACAGGAUUAGAUACCCCGGUAGUCC